GUUCAACUACAUUUAUAUAUAUUUGUUAAGCUCUUUAUCACCUUUAGCCCAGAAAAAUAUUGAAAAUAUUUAACUUAGACUUUAAUAUCUGCCAGUCAUACUAAAUUCUCUGAAUAAUAAAAAAACAUGAAUGAAGUAAUGUGAUUGCAUGUGAACCUGCAAAUGUUUCAUGGACACAUGAUAUGACUCCAAUCUAUGCAGGUGUAAUAAACAAGGACGCUAGGUUUGAUGAUCAUCAUUUUGUAUCUUGGGACUUAAAUUGAACAGAGAAAUUACAAUUUUAGGGAGGACUAUAUCUUCCUUCUAUUGUCCUAUGAAUUAUACAACCACAGUCUAUGAUGAGGUUUAUAUGAAGAGGCAGUUUAAAGAUUUUUGUAACAAUGGCUUCAUGUUAAACUAAGUUCUGUGUUGGCAGAUAUCUUGAACUUAUUUGAAUGAGGUAUCCCUUGUUUUUUUUCUUUGCAUUUCAUAAAGUUUUAAAUAGUUAAAUUCUUCAAUUUCUAGUGUAUUCUAAUAUGACGUGCUUCUUUCGCUUUAUGAAUAAAUCCAAUAAUUUUUAUUUGCACAUGCGUAUAUUGACUACUGCAGUAUAAUGAAUUUCAUCAAAUUGGCAUGCAUUUAAUAUAUUUUAUUAACUUAAAACACUUCCAAACUCUUAAAUUAUGCACAUGUUGUUACUAAUUCAUUUAUUAUGACUGUAAUGUGUUGCAUUCCGAAAUUGACAUAUUUGACCUAGAUACGACAACCGUUCAUGCUGACUGUUCCAAAACACCUCCCUCUGAAAAAUCACAGUGCCAGCUGUUUGCUUCUUUACAAACAAAAAAGAGGUUUAUGGAAGAGUCUACACAAUCGCUUUAGCCUUAUACACAUUGGACAUAAAAAUUACCUUAAUUGUCCUAAUCAGAAUCGAAAUUAUUGAUGCAAGCUAUACUUUAUUGUAGUUUUAACAUGGGUAGGCAUUAUAUUCAAGAUUGUUUUUGCCCGAGCAAUUAUUUCUUAAAUUAUCUCCCCUGAAACAAAAUGGUUAUGCUACAAAUUUUU
rnacentral:lncRNA from 1 species